GAUAGGCUAUCUCAAAUAUAGAUUUCAUAGUCGAGUCAAUCAAAUUGUGGUUGUUGGAGGAGUAGGUCGACCUCCGAGAUUCGUAGCCAUCAGAAUUGCUUGUUGAUCAUCUGAGCAUGAUGGAUGGACCUUGAAAUUACCAGCAUUGCACAUGUCAUGGCUAAGAAUAUACAAAUCUCAAACCAUAGAAACAGGAAUCUAUGUCUAGGAACUAAUAUUAACCAUAAUUGAGGAUAUAAUAUUUUGGCUAUGGAGCCGUUCUAGGAG
rnacentral:lncRNA from 1 species